rnacentral:rRNA from 1 species
UACAGAGGGUGCAAGCGUUAAUCGGAAUUACUGGGCGUAAAGCGCGCGUAGGUGGUUCAGUAAGAUGGAAGUGAAAUCCCCGGGCUUAACCUGGGAACUGCUUUCAUAACUGCUGAGCUAGAGUACGGUAGAGGGUAGUGGAAUUUCCUGUGUAGCGGUGAAAUGCGUAGAUAUAGGAAGGAACAUCAGUGGCGAAGGCGACCACCUGGACUGAUACUGACACUGAGGUGCGAAGGCGUGGGGAGCAAACAGGAUUAGAUACCCGU